rnacentral:rRNA from 1 species
GUGUCAGCAGCCGCGGUAAGACGUAGGAGGCGAGCGUUGUCCGGAUUCAUUGGGCGUAAAGAGCUCGUAGGCGGUUUGUCGCGUCGAAUGUGAAAACUCGGGGCUUAACCCCGAGCCUGCUUCCGAUACGGGCAGACUAGAGGUAGGCAGGGGAGAGCGGAACUCCUGGUGUAGCGGUGGAAUGCGCAGAUAUCAGGAAGAACACCGGUGGCGAAGGCGGAUCUCUGGGCCAUUACUGACGCUGAGGAGCGAAAGCGUGGGGAGCGAACAGGAUUAGAAACCCUGGUAGUCC